AACUUUCGGCAACGGAUCUCUUGGCUCUCGCAUCGAUGAAGAACGCAGCGAAAUGCGACAAGUAAUGUGAAUUGUAGAAUUCAGUGAAUCAACGAAUAUUUGAACGCAUCUUGCGCUCCUUGGUAUUCCGAGGAGCAUGCCUGUUUGAGUGUCAUCAAAGUCCUCAAACCACAUUGAUUGUUUUCGGUGUGGUUUGGAUGUGGGGGUUUUUGCAGGCUUUAGAAAUGAAGUCUGCUCCUCUGAAAUGCAUUAGUGGUAUCUGAGCAGAAGGACUACUACAGGUGUGAUAAUUUAUCUAUGCCUUGGUAAUGCUGCAUGAACGGAUUGCACUGCUUCCAACCCAAAAAAGUUUAUUUUUGGAGACCUCAAAUCAGGUAGGACUACCCGCUGAACUUAAGCAUAUCAAUAAGCGGAGGCU
rnacentral:misc_RNA from 1 species